GACGAACGCUGGCGGCGUGCUUAACACAUGCAAGUCGAGCGGUAAGGCCCUUUCGGGGGUACACGAGCGGCGAACGGGUGAGUAACACGUGGGUGACCUGCCUUUAGCUCUGGGAUAAGCCUGGGAAACCGGGUUUAAUACCGGAUAUGACUCCGCGGCGCAUGUUGUGGGGUGGAAAGCCUUGUGCGGCUGGAGAUGGGCCCGCGGCCUAUCAGCUUGUUGGUGGGGUGAUGGCCUACCAAGGCGACGACGGGUAGCCGGCCUGAGAGGGCGACCGGCCACACUGGGACUGAGACACGGCCCAGACUCCUACGGGAGGCAGCAGUGGGGAAUCUUGCGCAAUGGGCGAAAGCCUGACGCAGCGACGCCGCGUGAGGGAUGACGGCCUCGGUU
rnacentral:rRNA from 1 species